ACGCUCGACACCUACGGGGGCAGCAGUGGGGAAUAUUGCACAAUGGGGGAAACCCUGAUGCAGCGACGCCGCGUGAGCGAAGAGGUAUUUCGGUAUGUAAAGCUCUAUCAGCAGGGAAGAAACUGACGGUACCUGACUAAGAAGCACCGGCUAAAUACGUGCCAGCAGCCACGGUAAUCUGAGGCGGGCUGGCAAGGC
rnacentral:rRNA from 1 species